rnacentral:misc_RNA from 1 species
UACAGAGAGUGCAAGCGUUAAUCAGAAUUACUGGGCGUAAAGCGCACGUAGGUGGAUAUUUAAGUCGGAUGUGAAAUCCCCGGGCUUAACCUGGGAAUUGCACCCGAUACUGGAUAUCUCGAGUAUGGUAGAGGGAAGUGGAAUUUCCGGUGUAGCGGUGAAAUGCGUAGAUAUCGGACAGAACACCAGUGGCGAAGGCGGCUUCCUGGACCAAUACUGACACUGAGGUGCGAAAGCGUGGGGAGCAAACAGG